AGCGAACGCUGGCGGCAGGCUUAACACAUGCAAGUCGAGCGGGCGUAGCAAUACGUCAGCGGCAGACGGGUGAGUAACGCGUGGGAACGUACCUUUUGGUUCGGAACAACCCAGGGAAACUUGGACUAAUACCGGAUAAGCCCUUACGGGGAAAGAUUUAUCGCCGAAAGAUCGGCCCCCGUCUGAUUAGCUAGUUGGUGAGGUAACGGCCCACCAAGGCGGCGAUCAGUAGCUGGUCUGAGAGGAUGAUCAGCCACAUUGGGACUGAGACACGGCCCAAACUCCUACGGGAGGCAGCAGUGGGGAAUAUUGGACAAUGGGCGCAAGCCUGAUCCAGCCAUGCCGCGUGAGUGAUGAAGGCCCUAGGGUUGUAAAGCUCUUUUGUGCGGGAAGAUAAUGACGGUACCGCAAGAAUAAGCCCCGGCUAACUUCGUGCCAGCCGCCGCGGUAAAAC
rnacentral:rRNA from 1 species